AAACUUAGUGACCUAAAGCAACAGGUACUGUUACAUCACAGCCUUUGUGGCUCAGGAGUUCAGACCUUGAUCCCUGUUGAGGUCUGAGAAGGCCACAGUCACCGUGUCAGCUGGCAGAGAGCUCACCUUCCAGACACUUUACAACUUUGCUUUUGCUUCUUCAAGAUUCGCGGUCCGCACUUUCCCUUCCGUGGGUUCGGGUCACUGCCAACCGGAAGCCGCGGAUCCUCCUUCUGACGAAUCUGCAGACGGUCAAUAGGGGCCUAAAGCUCUGUCGGGACGCCUGGUCGUUUACCUGACGUCAUCUCAGCCCCGAGAGGAGACGAGGGGACGUCAUCCUGCGCCGUCACCAGAGGAAG